rnacentral:rRNA from 1 species
GAGUUUGAUCCUGGCUCAGAACGAACGCUGGCGGCAUGCCUAACACAUGCAAGUCGAACGAGACCUUCGGGUCUAGUGGCGCACGGGUGCGUAACGCGUGGGAAUCUGCCCUUCGGUUCGGAAUAACUCAGGGAAACUUGAGCUAAUACCGGAUAAUGACUUCGGUCCAAAGAUUUAUCGCCGAGGGAUGAGCCCGCGUAGGAUUAGCUUGUUGGUGAGGUAAAGGCUCACCAAGGCGACGAUCCUUAGCUGGUCUGAGAGGAUGAUCAGCCACACUGGGACUGAGACACGGCCCAGACUCCUACGGGAGGCAGCAGUGGGGAAUAUUGGACAAUGGGCGAAAGCCUGAUCCAGCAAUGCCGCGUGAGUGAUGAAGGCCUUAGGGUUGUAAAGCUCUUUUACCCGGGAUGAUAAUGACAGUACCGGGAGAAUAAGCCCCGGCUAACUCCGUGCCAGCCGCCGCGGU